rnacentral:rRNA from 1 species
GACGAACGCUGGCGGCGUGCUUAACACAUGCAAGUCGAACGAAGUGGCGAACGGGUGAGUAACGCGUAAUCAACCUCCCCUUGAGUGGGGGACAACAGUUGGAACCGACUGCUAAUACCGCAUACUGAAGGAGGAGUUUGCGUGGGAUUAGCUAGUUGGUGGGGUAACGGCCCACCAAGGCGAUGAUCCGUAGCCGGUCUGAGAGGAUGAUCAGUCACACUGGAACUGAGACACGGUCCAGACUCCUACGUGAGGCAGCAGUGGGGAAUAUUGCACAAUGGGCGAAAGCCUGAUCCAGCCAUGCCGCGUGUGUGAAGAAGGUCUUCGGAUUGUAAAGCACUUUAAGUUGGGAGGCGUUACCAACAGAAUAAGCACCGGCUAACUUCGUGCCAGCAGCCGCGGUAAUAC